CCAUAUUUGGAAGAGAAUAUGAACUAAAAAUAGGUUGAACAGCACUUCUCUAGUGUGUGUCCACAGAUAGGCUAGCCAAUCUACAGAAGGCACAGCACAGCCACGGAAUGCCAAGCCCCGCAGGGAAGAAAGUAAGACACCACGCCAUUCACACAGUUACUGCCCUGCCUGUUUUUCCCUUGGAGAAGGUCUCACCAGAACAAUUUUAUAAGCCAUCUUCAGUUCCCAGGACAGCACCAGCACACAGCUCCAUGCACAGCCUAGGUACCAGACGGCCUCCUCCUCUCAUUUCUGCAAUGAAGACUUGGCAUGAAUUUUGAUAUCAUCUCUCUUGAGAAACUAUCCACAAAUCUCCAGCAACCCUGGGCCCAGUCCACGUCAGCUGCUCUCCAAUGAUCCCACAGCACUGUGUUUUCUUACAGCAUAUUCCUGAAUUUUCAUAUCAUUUUUCUGUCUCUUCCGCUGAACUAUAAGAUGGAGAACAGAGGCAGAGCCUCUUAUUUCAAUACUUCAAGUGUCUGCAGAGUCUAUUACACUAUAGUGUAAAAGGUGUUCAGAUGUCUGUAAGUACUUAAGUCAGCAAAGCAAAACAAUACCUAACAAAUAAAUAAUCUGAGUGUUGGGUUUAAUUCUUAAAGAAAACUAGUUUAAUUAAACAUGGAUAAAUUCAUACAGGGAAAAUUAUUAUACCAACUUAAAUAGGACAUUGAGACAUUAAGAAAACAAACAAACAAGAACUGUAUAGCCCUGAAAUUUUACUUUUUAGUGUCUUAGUUCACAUUUAAUACAAGGUCUUCCUACUAACAUGUGCAGAUUUACAUCCCUGUGACAGGACAGUUUUUGGUGUUAUAAUUUUAAAAUGCUGAGAGGAAGGGGAGGAAAAAGAACCUAGCAGGAGAGGAAAAGGAGAGAAGAAUGAACACUGAAAACCUCCCUUGGAGGCUGGGCAAGUCUGAAGCCAUGGACAAGGGGAUGUGGAGGGGAGGUGGGUAGCAUGUGUGCUCCGGCAGGGAAGUGACUAUGGCCCUCGCACAGCAGAGCAGAGGAGCCAAGGGAGAGGAGCAGGCCCAGCAACCAGCAACCAGCAACCGCACUGUUGGGAGGAGGGCCUUCAGGUGAGGCACUGAGCAUCCUCACCUGGCCAGACCUUCCCAGGCAGGGAGGACAGAGCAGCAUUUGCCCUCUGGAGGAGGAAGGCAGGUUGGGAAGGCUUGAUGCAGAGGGCUACUUCUAGAUUAGAUGCCUGUGGUCCUCUUCUAGACUGGCACUGUGUGAGAUCCGCUUAAUGUUCAGCACCAAUUUGUUUUUGUUUUCUUUUGUAAAAGUAAUUAAUUGUAAAAAUCAAUAGAGAAUAAUGCGAUAAUUCAAUACAUGUGUAGAGUGCGUAAUGAACAAAUCAGGGUAUUUAACAUUUCCGUCUUCUCAAAUAUUUUUUAAAAGAUUAUUGAUUAAUAUUAAAGAAUCAUACAUA